AUGGAGAAAAAAUACUUGAAGAGGUUAACAUUGAACUGGGAUAGUGAGUGGUCUAAUGUUGAGGCUAGUGUUGAAGCAGUGGUUCUUGAGAGCCUUCAACCUCAUGCAGAUCUUGAAGUGUUGUGUAUUAGAGGGCAUGGAGGUCCUUGUCCAACAUGGCUGGGUGAUGAGUUCGCUGUUGAAGGUCUACAAUCUCUUUAUCUGGAUAGUGUUUCUUGGGAAGUUUUCCCUUCUUUAGGGAAGGCUUGGGAUCUUCGUGAGCUAAAAUUGAAGCAUAUUGCAAGACUGAAGGAUUUUAUCAUAGAGAAAAGCUUUUGCAGCCUAAUAAAGCUUACACUCAUUGGCCUAGGAAGUUUUGAAAAUUGGGUUUACACAGGUGAACAAGAGUCUUCCGUUGGUGGAGACUUGUUGCCACCGACUACUCACAUGUUUCCUCUUUUGCAAGUUCUGAUUAUUAGGAAGUGCCCAAAACUCUUGGGGUUUCCUUUCUCAACCAACAUUGUUUCCCCAGAUUGGUUUCCCAAACUACAAAAGCUUGUGGUAUUGGACUGUCCAGAAUUCUUGUCAGUGACUCCCGUCUCCUGGAUGGAAGGUCUGCCUUGUGUCAUUAUGCGAAAUGUAAAGCUACUAGCGUCUUUUCGGUACUCAAAAUCAUCCAAUGGAGCAGAAUUGGAAAUUUAUGGAGGGGUUGAUUUGCAUAGCAUAGACCAAGUGUUAGUUUUUGAUAAAGAAUUUGGUCUUGAGAACCUGACACUAUCGUGCUGCCCACCUCUGUAG
rnacentral:rRNA from 1 species